AGCGUAGACGGACUGGCAAGUCUGAUGUGAAAGGCGGGGGGCUCAACCCCUGGACUGCAUUGGAAACUGUUAGUCUUGAGUGCCGGAGAGGUAAGCGGAAUUCCUAGUGUAGCGGUGAAAUGCGUAGAUAUUAGGAGGAACACCAGUGGCGAAGGCGGCUUACUGGACGGUAACUGACGUUGAGGCUCGAAAGCGUGGGGAGCAACA
rnacentral:rRNA from 1 species